GACGACGCAACGCCGCGUGGAGGAUGAAGGUCUUCGGAUUGUAAACUCCUGUUGCCCGGGACGAAUGGCUCCAACCUAAUACGUUGGAGUGUGACGGUACCGGGUGAGGAAGCCCCGGCUAACUCUGUGCCAGCAGCCGCGGUAAUACAGAGGGGGCAAGCGUUGUUCGGAAUUACUGGGCGUAAAGGGCGCGUAGGCGGCCUGCUAAGUCGAACGUGAAAUCCCUGGGCUCAACCCAGGAACUGCGUCCGAUACUGGUUGGCUUGAAUCCGGGAGAGGGAUGUGGAAUUCCAGGUGUAGCGGUGAAAUGCGUAGAUAUCUGGAGGAACACCGGUGGCGAAGGCGACAUCCUGGACCGGCAUUGACGCUGAGGCGCGAAAGCCAGGGGAGCAAACGGGAUUAGAUACCCCGGUAGUCCUGGCCCUAAACGAUGAAUGCUUGGUGUGGUGGGUAUCGAUCCCUACCGUGCCGAAGCUAACGCAUUAAGCAUUCCGCCUGGGGAGUACGGUCGCAAGGCUG
rnacentral:rRNA from 1 species